GACGAACGCUGGCGGCGUGCCUAAUACAUGCAAGUCGAGCGAAUGGAUUAAGAGCUUGCUCUUAUGAAGUUAGCGGCGGACGGGUGAGUAACACGUGGGUAACCUGCCCAUAAGACUGGGAUAACUCCGGGAAACCGGGGCUAAUACCGGAUAACAUUUUGAACCGCAUGGUUCGAAAUUGAAAGGCGGCUUCGGCUGUCACUUAUGGAUGGACCCGCGUCGCAUUAGCUAGUUGGUGAGGUAACAGCUCACCAAGGCAACGAUGCGUAGCCGACCUGAGAGGGUGAUCGGCCACACUGGGACUGAGACACGGCCCAGACUCCUACGGGAGGAAGCAGUAGGGAAUCUUCCGCAAUGGACGAAAGUCUGACGGAGCAACGCCGCGUGAGUGAUGAAGGCUUUCGGGUCGUAAAACUCUGUUGUUAGGGAAGAACAAGUGCUAGUUGAAUAAGCUGGCACCUUGACGGUACCUAACCAGAAAGCCACGGCUAACUACGUGCCAGCCGCCACCGUAA
rnacentral:rRNA from 1 species